AACGAGAACGGCCUUUAGCUUGCUAAAGGUGUCAGCUAAGUGGCGGACGGGUGAGUAAUGUAUAGCUAACGUGCCCUUUGGAGGGGGAUAACUACUGGAAACGGUAGCUAAUACCCCAUAUUCCUUCUAUGUUAAUCAUAGUUGGGAAAGUUAUUUCGCCAAAGGAUCGGGCUAUAUGGUAUCAGGUAGUUGGUGGGGUAAGAGCCUACCAAGCCAAUGACGCCUAGCUGGUCUGANAGNAUGAUCAGGCACACUGGAACUGAGACACGGUCCAGACUCCUACGGGAGGCAGCAGUGGGGAAUAUUGCACAAUGGAGGAAACUCUGAUGCAGCAACGCCGCGUGGAGGAUGACGCAUUUCGGUGUGUAAACUCCUUUUAUAUGGGAAGAUAAUGACGGUACCAUAUGAAUAAGCA
rnacentral:rRNA from 1 species